ACAGACCUGUAUUCACCAAAUGUUGAGCAAGAGGUGUGAAGACUUUCCAACACACAGCAAUGGAGGAGACGGACAUGACAUUACCUGACAUCGUAGCAAACCUGUCGCUUCCUAUUGAUCAUAAAAGAGUCAGCCGGUUCAACAUCUCGAGGGCUAAUGUUUGGGAUGGGGCAGUGACAGGUUUCAAGCGUACAACAUAUUCUGAAACCUGUGACAUGCUGGUCAAAUUUACUGAUGAUACUGGUGUUCUGGAAGAGGAAAUUGACACUGGUGGUCCAAGACGAGAGUUUUUAACUCUACUAAUGAAACACCUAAAAGACCGGCCCAUUUUUGAUGGUCGGUUUUUGGUCUACAAUGCAAAUGAUUGAGAAUGCUGCUUCAUUGGAUGCUCUGCAAAAAUGUAUGAUGAGACACAGCAUAAUGUUACAGACAGCAGGUUGUCUGAGACGUGGCUACUGUGGAAGAAAAAGAAAUCGUGUCAGACUACCUCCAAUGGUAUAUUAUUGACCGCAACUCAUCUGUAAUUGACAGGUAAGAUGAUAUUUGUAGUGAUGAGAUUUUCUUCUUUUUUAUGUAUUUAUGUAAGAAUUUUUAGUUUGAAAUGCCUCAUGGUCCCCAUCUUUGGUUUAUGCAAG